rnacentral:lncRNA from 1 species
CAAAUACUAUUUAGCAUGAUGCAACAACAGCAACAACGAUCCAAUAAGAUCCCACAAGUGGGGUCUGGGAAGGAUAGUGUGUACGCAAUGUAUGUGCACCGGUGAUAUAACCAGUUAGGAGAGAAAGAUUGUUACCAAUUUGGCAAUCAGAACAUUAGAAUCUUUCUCGAACGAGACAGCUACUUCGUCCAAGAUUGGAGCGAGCGCCUUGCAGUGGCCACACCAGGGUGCAUAGAACUCUAGCAUUACUGUAACAAAAGCAAAACAUUAUUAGUUCCUUAGAUAAGGAGCUCAGGCGCAUAGAACUCUAGCAGUACUGUAACAAAAGAAGAAAGCAUAGUCAAAACAAAAGGAAAAC